rnacentral:rRNA from 1 species
CUUUUUGAGUAUAAUUUAAGGUCGGGCCUGCCCAAUGAUUAAAUUAAAUGGCCGCGGUAUAUUGACCGUGCAAAGGUAGCAUAAUAAUUAGUUUUUUAAUUGAAAGCUUGUAUGAAGGGUUUAAUGAGAAAAAUACUGUCUCUAUUUAAAUUUAUUAGAAUUUUAUAUUUAAGUUAAAAAGCUUAAAUUUAUAUUGAAGACGAGAAGACCCUAUAGAGUUUAAUAUUUCAUUUAACAAUUAGUUAUUAAGGAUUUUAAAUAUUAGUUAUUUAAAAUAUUUGGUUGGGGUGACUGAAAAAUUGGUAAAACUUUUUUUGUAUUUUUACAUUGAUUAAUGAGCUGAUGAUCCUUUAUUUAAGAUUAAAAGAUAAAAUUACCUUAGGGAUAACAGCGUAAUUUUUUUUUAGAGUUCUUAUCGAAAGAAAAGAUUGCGACCUCGAAGUUGGAUUAAAAUUAAUUAUUGGWGUAGAAGCUAAW